UUCAUACAUGCAAGUCGUACGAGAAAGUUCCCUUCGGGGGACGAGUAGAGUGGCGAACGGGUGCGUAACACGUGAGCAACCUGCCUCGAAGCUGGGGAUAACUUCGAGAAAUCGGAGCUAAUACCGAAUGUGGUCGCGUCCUCGCAUGAGGAUGCGUUCAAAGGAGGCCUCUGCUUGCAAGCUUUCACUUCGAGAGGGGCUCGCGGCCUAUCAGUUUGUUGGUGAGGUAACGGCUCACCAAGGCAACGACAGGUAGCCGGCUUGAGAGGGUGUACGGCCACAUUGGGACUGAGACACGGCCCAAACUCCUACGGGAGGCAGCAGUAGGGAAUAUUGCGCAAUGGGCGAAAGCCUGACGCAGCAACGCCGCGUGAGUGAUGAAGGCCUUCGGGUCGUAAAGCUCUGUCAUGUGGGAAGAAGGACUUCCGGUCUAAUCACCGGGAGAAUUGACGGUACCACAAGAGGAAGCUCCGGCUAACUCCGUG
rnacentral:rRNA from 1 species